GCCGGGGUGGCUUAGCAGGCAGAGCGUCGGACUCAUAAUCCGAAGGCCCCGGGUUCGAUUCCCGGCCCCGGCA
rnacentral:tRNA from 1 species